GACGAACGCUGGCGGCGUGCUUAACACAUGCAAGUCGAACGGAAAGGCCCUGCUUUUGUGGGGUGCUCGAGUGGCGAACGGGUGAGUAACACGUGAGUAACCUGCCCUUGACUUUGGGAUAACUUCAGGAAACUGGGGCUAAUACCGGAUAGGAGCCCCUGCUGCAUGGUGGGGGUUGGAAAGUUUCGGCGGUUGGGGAUGGACUCGCGGCUUAUCAGCUUGUUGGUGGGGUAGUGGCUUACCAAGGCUUUGACGGGUAGCCGGCCUGAGAGGGUGACCGGCCACAUUGGUACUGCGAUACGGCCCAGACUCCUACGGGAGACAGCAGUGGGGAAUAUUGCACAAUGGGCGGAAGCCUGAUGCAGCAACGCCGCGUGCGGGAUGACGGCCUUCGGGUUGUAAACCGCUUUCGCCUGUGACGAAGCGUGAGUGACGGUAAUGGGUAAAGAAGCACCGGCUAACUACGUG
rnacentral:rRNA from 1 species